UACGGAGGGGGCUAGCGUUGUUCGGAAUUACUGGGCGUAAAGCGCACGUAGGCGGCUUUGUAAGUUAGAGGUGAAAGCCCAGGGCUUAACCCGUGGAAUUGCCUUUAAGACUGCAUCGCUAGAAUCGUGGAGAGGUGAGUGGAAUUCCGAGUGUAGAGGUGAAAUUCGUAGAUAUUCGGAAGAACACCAGUGGCGAAGGCGUACUCA
rnacentral:rRNA from 1 species